rnacentral:lncRNA from 1 species
UGGGAAAGCUCUUACUGGCUGGAGAGUUCAUCAACAAGCAUUUGGGCCGCCAAUCUGGGUCGAAAACUGCAAUUGCUUUCAGCCGGAAAACGGCAGAUGCUUCAAAGAUAUAAGGAACAUCACAUUAACAUAAUAUUAUACUCUAUAAACGAUAAAGCAAGGGGGAAAUUUUGUUUUCUCCUCUUGCAUUCUGAUGUGUCUAGUAAGACUACCAUGUUUUAUACGAAAAGAAACUCAAAAUGAAGAGCCAUUCAUUGUCUUCAGAAUCAUUGUAUUGAGAUCAGUUAUAUGCAUAUACAAAAAGUAUUAGUACAAGGAUAGAAGAAAAAAGGACAUUGUCCUCAGAAUCAUUCUAUUGAUUGAGAUCAGUUGUAAGAAGUAUAGUACAAGAAUAGAAGAGAAAAGAACAGCUGCAUAAUGAUAUAGCCACGCCACUAUGUUAUGCUCCUCGGUGGUGUAUUUGGUUUUUCUUUCUUUUUCUGCUUCUUUCGCAAUCUGUUUCUGGUAAUGCAGGUGGUAACAUUUCUCUGCUCUGACUUGCAUCAAAGAAGCUGGGAAUUGGUUCCAAUUGCAUGGUUUCACAUUCAGUUAAUUUAAGUUCUUGUUGCUGACUUUGUAGUAGUUUUGCCAAUUGAUGGAAUACUAUUAAUGGUCCCCAAACUUGUACAAAUUGAUUUUCAACUUUAUAAUUUUGUCUUCAAAUGGGUCCUCACCCAACACCGGUAGGGGUAAUUUUCACCUUGGUCCGCCAUGAAGUUUCAUUUAAUCUCAAUUUCCUUUAGGUUUGUAUAUUAGGCACUAGAGUAUUUCUGGCUGUGCCAAUGCCCGAUUUAUUGUGUAAAAAAUAUUGAAAAAUUUCUUGCCAUGGCUUGUGCCCACACAAAUUGCUUUUAGCAACAUGGUUGUGCGCAUAUGAAAGAUCUUCACUAAUGAGCAACCUGGGCGCAUUGAUUUCUAUAAGCAUAAACAAGAGCCUCAAUUCUACAUGCAUAAAGCUCAUAUAUGAAGAAUAGAUAGGAAUAAACAUCUUCGUGGCAUGCAAAUAAAAGAAUCAUAAGUUAAGGAAAUUUGUUUUUGGAACCAAAGGUAAAGUUGAGGUACAUGUCAUCAAUUACAAAUUUGUACACCAAAAAUUUUCAACCUUCAAGUUUAUUAUCAUUACACUUGCCUUUUUAUUAAGAUAUAAACAUAAUUAAAUCAAGAUCGACUAUAAUCCAAUGAUGAAAUGGCCAAAGCUAUUCUAAUGCAUAGAAGAGGGUCACUUUUUUGCAAGUGUAGAGCAACAGCCCUUAAGAAAUUGAGUAAAUCUUAUAUAUACUGACAGUGUAUAUACUAUCACUGUUCGAUUCAUGAUAUGUUCAAAUUCAAAUCUUGUAUAGUUGUCAUUCAUCCAACGCUGAUAGUGUAUACACUGUCAGUGUAGGAAAGAUUAAUCCUUAGAAAUUAUACAAAACUGGGAGGAAAAUCACUAAGAAGCUGUCUUGCACUUUAGCAUUAUGCAUGGCAUCUUGUUAAUUUGAAUAUUUAUGGACUCUGCUGUUCAAGCUUGCUGGCGCUGAUGGCUAAUGGUUUCUGCAAAUACUUGCUAUAAAAUGACUAUUUGCAAUUGAAGACAUCUAAAGUGUAAAGGAAAACAUUGGUGCUCACAAAUUGAUAAUAGCAGAAAAGCAAGCAAUUGACACAAAAUAAUGAGAACCAGAAAAGGCAGGAGAAAAUUUGAUAAACUAAAUAUGGAAUACCGUAAAGGACUACUUAUUUGAAUUACUGCUUCUGUGUCAUCAAGCAUUAAGACAGCACUUUCUUGCCCCAAAACAAUAUCAAGACUUUGUGGUGUCUCUGUGUGCAAUCUCUUUGUGCAAUCACUCUGGAGUUGGAAUAGACAUCUCCAGGGUCAAGCAAUUUUGCCAUUUGCAAUGCAUAUGCAUGUGCACCAUCAUGUAUAUGUACAUCUCAACCAAAAAGCAGCUUAUUAUCUCAAGUUUGACACAAACAUUUCAUCAAAUGCUUGAUAACCUCAACAGGUGAUCCAACAGAAACAAAUGGACAUUUUAUCCUCCAAAGAUCCGAAUAGAAUUGGAUAAGACAAUGGCCAUAGAAAACCGGCAGCAUACACAACAAACAUUCAGAAAAUCAAAGAUACUAACCUGUAUGUAAUAAAUCCCAAUCUUUCAAUCAAAAGAGAGAUGCUGAUAUAACCUCUAGUAUCUUAGGAUACCAGUGUAUGUCAAAAUUCCAGUUCAUUCCAGUUGGAAACUCAGAGAUGGUGUGCAUGACAUCGAAGACAUUUCAAUUAUAUAGUAUGUAUUGGCGGAUGUCUUAACCAACACAGAGACACACCUAGAGGGAGACAUGGAGCAUGCUUUGUGAGAUAAGGUAGUAAGGAGGAAGAUGGUUGAGAAGUAGAAACAUUUUCUGUUCCAUUUAUAUCAUGAAGUUGGGUGACCAUAAGAUACUAGUUUUCAUUGAACCUGUUUUCACAGGAGGAUGUCCUAUUCAAGGGUGAUCUAAGAUUGAGGAUAGCUCUUGAUAUGAGAAGUGUGGAUUUCAGGGACACAUGUUGAAUUGAUGGAAGGCGAACCCUGAGAGUGAGUAUAAACGUCAUCAAUAUUAAAGGUUAAUAGCAGCUGGCCAUGACUUGAUUGAUCUAAGGUCGUUAGAUGAGAACCAUUUGAUCCACACAUGGAUGUGACAUUGGGGGAGGAUAAAUGCUUAGAAACAGGCAUAACUCCACUACUAUAAUUUUCCUGAUCCUUCCUAAUCAUGUUACUAUUUGGAUUUGUCAUAGAGUGGAGGUUGAGACCAAUUAGAUGAGUGUUAUUUCCUGAGGUCUGAAUAUCUGCGUAUGCACCGUCAGAAUGCAUAUGCAUUGCAUUAGCAGGAUGAGCCUGAGAAAACAGCAGGUUUCUUGAUAACUCUUCACAUUGUUCUAUUGUGUGAGAGCUGUUUGGGUUCCUUUUUAAUGAAGUCUCAGCAUUGUAACAUUCAUCAAACCAUUUAUCUACUAAACUAAACCUUUAACUUGGAUUCCUUUUUCUUUUCAUCUUAAUGACAGUAGCAGUAAGGAAAUAUGACUAAUUACAGCUAAUGAGAGAGUAAAACUAAGUUAUAUAUAUAUAUAUAUAUAUAUAUAUAUAUAUAUAUAUAUAUAUAUAUAUAUGAAGUCCAAACUGCUAGAUACAACCAGUUAAACAAGAGAUACAAAGGUGACACUAAUUGUAUGAAUUUGUCGUAUUCGACAAAUGACGAAUCAGAGUGAUUAAAUACUAAAAGGCAGAAUGUGAAGAAGAAAAGUGAUAUGAAGCAUACAUUCAGCAGACUUUGACGGUUAAAUAGCAGAACAUAGAACCUGUGAACUCACAACCUAUGAACUUAAUACUCAUAAGGGAACUCAUGGUUGCAGAACUUAGAACCCCAGUUACAGCAAACAGAAAAUUAUCCAAUCAGAACCCAGCAGACUUUCGUGGUUAAAUACCAGAACGUAGAACCUGUGAACUUACAACCUACGAACUUAAUACUCAUAAGGGAACUCAUGGCUACAGAACUUAGAACCCCAGUUACAGAACUCCAAUUACAGCGAAGACAAAAUUAUCCAAUCUGUUGAAUACUUGUAGGGCAAACAAUUAGCCAAAGAGAAACAGUAAUUACCUUUAGCAGGAAAGCUUGCAAAUGUAAAAGUAGAAGGACCGUGAAGAUGAGCAGUAUUACUUCCUAAUGCAUAAGGACACAAACUUUGUGAGUCGUAACUCUUGAUCAUUUGCCAACUGGCCAACAAACUAAUAAAUAGAAGCAACUGAACAAGAUAUACAAAGUCACAAACUAAUUGUUUGAAUUUAUCAUAUUCAACUAAUAAGACUGAUUAAAUACUAAAACAAAAUGCAAGGAAAAAAAACAUUCACUGGAAAAGUGAUAAGUGAAACCAAACGAAGUUACAACUAAAAAACUAUCACUAACUUAUGAAACACAAUAAAAGUUUUGGAGAAAAAUUGCAGCACACAUUGAAGGACUGAAGAGAGUGACCUGAAAUUGAAACAACUGCUGAAUAGAAGUCUGUGAACGCUAAAUAAGAAGUUCUUAUGCAUCAAUUCUUUCACAGUGCAAUUAAAUCCCUGUAGAAAUUUGGCAACCAAAAUAAAAAGUAUACAGAGUAUCCAAUCUCUUUAAUACUCGUAGAGAAAAAAAGGGUUAAAAACAAAAAAGUCUCGUAUGGUAUACCUAAUACACAGAAAAUCCCUCCAUGAUUUCAAAACAUACAAAACGACACCUCAUGUUUCGAACUAAAUUAUAAACUAACAAAAUUCGUUAAAUUUAACGAAAAUGACGGUCUCGGCCUUUAAACUUACUGGAUUCCGUUAAGUUUACUAGAUUCUGUUAAGUUUAAUGUAAGUUUACUGGAUUCUGUUAAAUUUAACGAAUUCUGUUAGUUUAUAAUUUAGUUCAAAACAUGAAGUGUUGUUUUGUAUGUUUUGAAAUCACGGGGGGUUUUUUGUGUAUUAGGUAUACCACAUGGGACUUUUUUGUUUUUAACCAGAAAAAAAUUAAACACAAAAAAUGAGUAGUUACCUUUAGUAUGAAUGGUUGCAGAGGAAAAGAAGGAAGAAGCGUGGAGUUUUUUGUGAGCAGUAUUUGUGUUCCUGAUGUAUAAACAUACAAACUUUAUGAGUCGUUAAAGAUUUUUCUUUCACUCUUGAUAAUUUGCCAACUGGCCAACAAAAAGGAAAAUAAAAGGACAAACCUAUAUCCCUAACAAUGCUAUAAGCCAUCAUAAACACAAUAGAUAACGACACAAAGUUAAUGAAUUAUUAGAGAUUUUUCUUUCAAUCUUGAUAAUUUCUCAAAUGGGGAACAAAAAGGAAGACAAAAGGACAAACUUAUAUCCUAGUAAUGAAUAGAAAUCAUACUUCAUACUUAACUCUUUCUGGAACAAUCCCACGGUUGGAUAUGGAUGAGCAGCCAUAAUUUAGGGAAAAAGCGUCAAAUUAUUGGCCAAGUGGUGGAGGAGUUCAAUUGGUAUUUUUGUUCCUCUAAACUAAAAGGAAAAGAAAGCUAUCAUUUAGGGGAAAAAAUCAUCAAGUUGUUGGCCAACUGUUGGAGGAGUUGAAGCGGUACUUUUCUUCAUUCGAACCAGAAAGAAAACUAAGGAGAAAGAAAGGAAUCGAAAACAGAGAGAGAGCAAUAGAGGAGAAAAAGUAGAGCUGAACAUGAAGACAAUGAAAUCUACAAACAUAUUUGUUGUGGUUCAAAGAUGAGAUAAAGUGCGAUUCGGAAUCACAAGGGCAAGCGUAAUUUAGGCAAAAAACUCAUCAAAUUUUUGACCAUUUGUUGCAGUAGCUCAUCUGCUUUCAUGCUUCUUCUGAAGCAAAAAUAAAACGAAAAAGAUGACACUACUAAAGAGAUGACAAGAAUGGUACUAAAGAGAUGACAAGAAUGGUAAGCAAAAAGUCAGAAAUAACCCUAAACUGUUGGCUACUAUUUUAAGAGCUUUUUUCUCCACUGGACAGAGUAGUAAUUUUAUCUAAAAAGACAAAAAUGUCCUCAAGGAUGACGUACUGUUUGGAGAAAUACUCAACAUUCCCAAGGCAUAAACGGAAACAAAAUUUUCUCCCUCCCUCCUGCCUUCACGUGGAUCAACCGAACAUACAAUCCUUAGAUUUUUCUAUAUGUGUAAGAAAUCUAUUGAAUACUUGUAAGGAAAAAAAUUAGCCAAAGAGAAACAAUAAUUACCUUUAGCAGGAAACUUACAGAUGUAAAAGUAGAAGGAUCGUGAAACUAAGCAGUAGUGCUUCCUAAUGUAUAAGGACACAAACUUUAUGAGUUAUUAGAGAUACUUCUGUAACUCUUGAUCAUUUGCUAACUGGCCAACAAACUAGUAAAUAGAAGCAACUGAACAAGAUACAAAAGUCACAAACUAAUUGUUUGAACUUAUCAUAUUCAACUAAUGUGACCAAUUAAAUACUAAAAGGCAAAAUGCAAGGAAAAAAAACAUUCACUCGAUAAGUGAUAAGUGAAACCAAAUGAACUUACAACUGAAAAACUAUCACUAACGUAUGAAACAUAAUAAAAGUUAGAGAGAAAAAUUACAGCACAUACUGAAGGACUGAAGAGAGUGACCUGAAAUUGAAACAACUGUUAAAUGGAAGUUUGUAAAUGCUAAAUAAGAAACUCUUCUGCACCAAUUCUUUCACAGUGCAAUUAAACCCUGCAGAAAUUUGGCAAUCAAAAUAAAAAGUAUACAGAUUAUCCAAUCUCUUUAAUACUUGUAGCGGAAAAAAUAAGACACAGAAAAAGAGUAGUUACUUUUAGUAGGAAAGGUUGCAGAGGAAAAGGAGGAAGAAGAGUAGAAUUUUUUGUGAGCAGUAUUUGUGUUCCUAAUGUAUGAACACACAAAUUUUAUGAGUUGUUAAAGAUUUUUCUUUCACUCUUGAUAAUUUGCCAACUAGCCGACAAAAAUUAAAAAAAAAAGACAAACCAAUAUCCCUAGCAAUAUUAUUAGCCAUUAUGAACACAAUAGAUAACAACACAAAAUUGAUGAAUUGUUAGAGAUUUUUCUUUCAAUCUUGAUAAUUUCUCAACUAGGGAACAAAAAAGGAAAAUAAAAGGACAAAUCUAUGUCCCUAGUAAUGUAUAGAAAUCAUACUUCAUACUUGACUCUUCAAGAACAAUCCCACAGUUGGGAUAUGGAUGAGCAACCAUAAUUUAAGGGAAAAAAUCGUCAAAUUGUUGACCAAAUAGUGGAGGAGUUCAAUUGGUAUUUUUGUUCCUCUGAACUAGAAGGAAAAAAAAGCCAACAUUUAGGGGAAAAAAUUGUCAAGUUGUCGACCAACUGUUGGAGGAGUUGAAGUCGUACUUUUAUUCAUCCGAAUUAGAAAGAAAACGAAGGAACAAGAAAGGAAUCGGAAACACAGAGAGAGAGAGAGAGCAACGGAGGAGAAAAAGUAGAGCUAAACAUGAAGACAAUGAAAUCUGCAAAAUAUUUGUUGUGGUUCAAAGAUGAGAUAAAGUGCGGUUCAGAAUCACAAGCGCAAGCAUAAUUUAGGCGAAAAACUCAUCAAAUUUUGAUCGUUUGUAGCAAUAGCUCAGCUGCUAUGAUACUUUUUCUAAAGCAGAAAGAAAAGAAGUGAAAACACUACCAAAGAGAGGACAAGAAUGGUAGGCAAAAAGUCAGAAAUACCCCUAAAUUGUUGCUACUAUUUUUAGAGCUUUUUUCUCCCACUGAACAGAGUAGUAAUUUUAUCUAAAAAGACAAAAAUGUCCUCGAGAAUGAUGUACUAUUUAGAGAAGUAAUCAACAUUCCCAGGGCAUAAACGGAAGCAAAAUUUUCUCCCUCCCCUCUUGGCGCCAUGUGGAUCAACCUGAGCAUUGAAUCCUUAGAUUUUUCUAUAUAUGUAAGAAAUCUAUUGAAUACUCAUAGGGGAAAAAAUUAGUCAAAGGGAAACAGUAAUUACCUUUAGUGAGAUGUAAAACUAGAAGGACCGUGAAACUGAGUAGUAUUGCUUCCUAAUGUAUAAGGACACAAACUUUGUAAGUUAUUAGAGAUAGUUCUGUAACUCUUGGUCAUUUGCCAACUGGCCAACAAACUAGUAAAUGGAAGCAGCUGAACAAGAUAUACAAAGCCACAAACUAAUUGUUUGAACUUUUCAUAUUCAACUAAUGAGACCAAUUAAAUGCUAAAAGGUAAAAUGCAAGGAAAAAAAAAAUUGACUCGAUAAGUGAUAAGUGAAACCAAACAAACUUACAACUGAAAAACUAUCACUAACGUAUGAAACAUAAUAAAAGUUAGAGAGAAAAAUUGCAGCACAUACUGAAGGACUGAAGAGAGUGACCUGAAAUUGAAACAACUGUUAAAUGGAAGUUUGUAAACGCUAAAUAAGAAACUCUUCUGCACCAAUUCUUUCACAGUGCAAUUAAACCCCUGCAGAAAUUUGGCAAUCAAAAUAAAAAGUAUAUAGAUUAUCCAAUCUCUUUAUUAGACAUAGAAAAUGAGUAGUUACCUUUAGUAGGAAAGGUUGCAGAAGAAAAGGAGGAAAAAAUGUGGAAUUUUUUGUCAGCAGUAUUUCUGUUCCUAAUGUAUAAAUAUACAAAUUUUAUGAGUUGUUAAAGAUUUUUCUUUCAUUAUUGAUAAUUUGCCUAUUAACCAACAAAAAAGAAUACAAAAGGACAAACCUAUAUCCCUAACAAUGCUAUAAGCCAUCAU